rnacentral:misc_RNA from 1 species
AGACACCAUUUAGGAAAGAUGAAUGUGAAAGAGUGAAAAGCUGUGGGGCAAGAGUUCUUAGUGUUGAUCAAGUGGAAGGUCUAAAGGAUCCUGAUAUUCAAUCAUGGGGGGACGAGGAAACAGAAGGAGGUGAUCCACCUAGAUUGUGGGUUCAAAAUGGGAUGUAUCCAGGGACUGCGUUUACACGGAGUGUUGGAGAUAGUACAGCUGAAAGCAUUGGUGUAGUUGCUGUUCCAGAGGUGACAACAGUACAUCUUACAGCUCAUCAUCCUUUCUUCGUAGUUGCAAGCGAUGGUGUCUUUGAGUUCCUCUCCAGCCAAACUGUGGUGGACAUGGUGGUGGUGCCACAGCCAAGAGAAAUGGAGGAAGAACAACGAACACAGAGAAAGAAACAUCGGAGAUAUAUUUCACUCCGUCUGCUUCGGAAGGUUAUCGGUCAGUAAGGAGUGAGUUGUCUGAAGUGAGCUGUUGUCAAACUGUUCCGUCAUCAGACCAGAGCUCCAGAGUAGUAGUUUCAUCUAGCUUGGAUUGAACAAAGAAAAGACUUCCAAGGGUUUCCACGCAUUUCCACAUAUUUUAGAUG